UACGAAGGGGGCUAGCGUUGUUCGGAAUUACUGGGCGUAAAGCGCACGUAGGCUGACAUUUAAGUCAGGGGUGAAAUCCCGAGGCUCAACCUCGGAACUGCCCUUGAUACUGGGUGUCUCGAGUCCGGAAGAGGUUAGUGGAAUUCCCAGUGUAGAGGUGAAAUUCGUAGAUAUUGGGAAGAACACCAGUGGCGAAGGCGGCUAACUGGUCCGGUACUGACGCUGAGGUGCGAAAGCGUGGGGAGCAAACAGGAUUAGAAACCCUAGUAGUCC
rnacentral:rRNA from 1 species